UGAAAUUCUUGGUUUUCCACCUUUGCCCUGCUAACCGGGCCACCGGGGGGACUGCAGGGCUCCGCUCCGGCAAGCUGCUGGCCCUCCGGGCAGAGCCAGUGGCAUUCAUCUUUCCAGGUCCCUGGUUGAGAGGCAAGAAGGUGAUGAUGUUAUACUUUGAUGUCUUGAUGGAAUUGGACUGCGGAAAGAGAAAACCAGAGGCAUGAGGAGAGACCAGACCAAAGACAGUUCUGCCGGGGCUGACUUUAGCCUACUCAAAUGUUAGGUGCAUCCCAAGAGGGUAGAGGUCCCUCUUCGGCCCACCGCCUCACUCUAGAUUCCUGACUCAGCAACAGGCGGGGGAAACCUCGCGCCAGCCUCCAGUGACACGUCUCAGGGCUCGGUGAAAUAAUGAAGAGCCGUCUCCGAUAUCUGCUGCAGCCCUGGCACACGCUGCUUCCUGUGACCAGAGUCUUCGGCUUCGGAAGAAUACCUAGGCGGCCUGAGGGGAGACACCUAAGGAAUCAUGGUUGCGGGUUCUUUAGGUGGAAAUGGGGUUUUGCCGCUACACCGUCUCCAGGGAUGAAUCCUGGCAGUCUGAGCCUCUCGGGAUUGCAACUCUGGCCUCUCCCCUGACUCAAGGAGAUUUUUGGUUCUCUGUGGCCCCUUCAAGGGCGUGCCGGCUUCCCAGGGUCGGGAAGGUAACAAGCCACCCACACCUGCAGCCUGACAAAUGAUUGCCUCGGUCCUCGGUGCCAAGAUCCAUUCUUAAAAUUCCCAAAGCUCCUUAACGGUGGAGACGGUUCGGUACGAUCCCUCACCCCUAAUGGAAAGACAGAUCAAGCGUGUGUACCUCUGAGUGGGAUUGCAUUCCACCCUGAAUAAAGCCUCAU